GCCGGAGUGGCGGAAUUGGUAGACGCGCAGGUCUUAGGAACCUGUGUCCACUGGAUGUGUGGGUUCGAGUCCCACCUCCGGCA
rnacentral:tRNA from 1 species